rnacentral:rRNA from 1 species
UACGGAGGGUGCGAGCGUUGUCCGGAAUCACUGGGCGUAAAGGGCGCGUAGGCGGCUCAUGAAGGCUGUGGUGAAAGUCCGGGGCUCAACCUCGGAUCGGCCGUGGCGACUCGUGGGCUGGAGCACUGUAGAGGCGGGUGGAAUUCCGGGUGUAGCGGUGGAAUGCGUAGAGAUCCGGAAGAACACCGGUGGCGAAGGCGGUCUGCUGGGGUCGAACUGACGCUGAGGCGCGACAGCGUGGGGAGCAAACAGG